GUCAGGUGGUAGACAUCUUUUGGAGGUCACCAUUUGCACAUUCUGUGAAAAACAUAUUUUUUGGCUAAAAAUAUUUUAGCAUGUGCAGUUCCUAUUAUAAUGUGUCUUAAGUGGGAGAUAGCUCAAGACUAGUGGCUGGUGUAAAAUCUCAAAGGCAGCUACUGUUUGCAAAGAAAGUGCUUCUUAAAGAUAUGUACAAUGGGAAAACAAGCUACUACUAAGCAAAAAUGUGGUUUUCUUUGCCUGCCUAUAUGAGAUGGAGCAUUUUUAAUCGACAAAAGAAAAAAAAGUAUAAUGAAGAAGAUUAUAUAGCAUCAAAGUCUCGAGGAGAACAACUGUUACACAUGGUAUUAGAAGAAGAAAGUCUGAUAUGUUAAACAUGGUUAAUAGCACUCUGGGCAUGUACUCAAGGAAACUGAAGUAUUAGUAUCUAUUUGGAAAAUCAUUUUAACACAGAGUUUUAUUUUAAGGUAUUGUGAUUUGAUUGGUAUUUCAUCAUUUCCUAAUAAUUGUUUUUAAGGCAAAUGUUAUUCAUGUUUUCCAGAACCAUUCUAUUCUUGUUGAUGAAAUUGAUAAAUAUGUUUUUUUUUCUGUAUUUAGCUAUUCAUUUAUUAAAAGAUUGUUUAUUGUAUUAAUGUUCAAAAAAUUAUUAUUAUGGAGAGUGCAAAGCAUUUGUGUUCUUAAUAUUGUCAUAUAUUUUAUAGAGAGGCUUAAAAGUAACUCUUCAGCACUUACUUGUGCAGUCUGCCCUGACUGUAAAGGUUAAGGUAAGGAUAUCAUCUUUAUUAUCUGUUCAGUUUUAUUUCUUUUGGUUUUGUAUAUCGUUUAAUGUGAAUUUAUUAACUCAAUAUGGACCUUCAUGAGAUUUGAAAGUAUGAUUAGAAAAUCAGGUUAGAGAGGUAAUAUUUGUAACAUAAUUUAAGUGUAUGUGAAUUCUUAUUUUAGGUAUUCUUGAAUGUUGAUAAUACUUGACAACAGUAUUGCCCAAGGGUGAUUGUAAUCUGGGUGUAUUAAAAUCCAUUUUGUUUGUCUUUAAGAGAAACUUUAUUCCAUUUAACUUGAAUAAAAAUAUGCUUUCAUUUGCCAUCAGAUUAAUUAAGUUGUCUAAAGAUAUCUUAUAAUACUGUGGAUUCUUCAGGUACAUCACUAGAAAAAUGUAAUGUUUGUUUAUAAGAAGGAUCCAAAAUGCAUACUGAAAUUUUGAAAGACACAGAAACAUUUACAAGAGGAUUGGUACAUUUUUCUGAAACAUCUUGCCCACAAUUAUUUAUUGAGUCAUGCUAGUCUAUUUUCUGCACUUCUAAGGGCAAAAAAAUUCCAGCCAUCACUUUGGUUUUGCAUAAUUUAUACUCAAGCAGGGUUAUCCAGCACUAAUUACCUAUCCCCAUCUUAAUUACCAACUUAACAAUAGAUGACAUCAUACUGACUAAACCUGCACUUUUCCUUCUAAUUUUGUGAGUGGUCAGAAUUUAACUCCUAUAUAUAAAGUACACCUUGCAUCAAGUAUUGGAAACUACAGAGGAUAUGGUCAGUUAUGAUGUCAAUAAAACUAAACUCUGGCUGCUGCUGCACUGGAAAAGCUAAAUCCUACUUAUUGCUAGGUAUAAAACUCCAUGUGUAUAUGUACAAUGCUGAUAUAACCAUUAUUUCUUACAAACUAGUGGACAAAAUGGUCAAGAGUAAUGUUCAAACAAAUGAUAGACUUAACCAGGUAAAUUAUUUGUAUCACAAAUGGCUUCAAAACCUUUGAGGCAAAUUUUAAAAUCUUUUAAACUUUUAAGUUUUCUACUUAUUGAAAUCUCUGAUCUUGCAUUUGCAAUGUUUAUUUCUUUGGAAAUUCCUUAUAGAGUAAAAAUAUAUGCACUUAAAACUUUGAAUGCAAUGUUUCACAAGUUCAGAAAUUAAAUUUCUGCACUUCUAAUUUGACAAAAUCUUGUUAUUAAAUGUCAGAACGUAUGUAUGUACUUCUUGAGAAAAUCCACUCACACAGUGAUGUUUUACAUUCAUUUGAGGUAAAGAUUUGCAAACUUUACAUAACGUUUUUGCUGGAUGAAAGUAUAUAUUUUAAAUUAUAAAAAAGUUUAUAAAGUGCUAGACACUAUUACUGACUUUUCCAAAUCUAAUGAAUUUUUGUCCUCUCAUCCAAAGAAAUUAAAAAGCUUUUAUCCCAUCAAUCACUUGAAUAGUCUUGUAAACUUCAAUAAAAUUUCCUUUUACCUUUCUUUUCUCAAGAGGGAAGAAGUUAACAGUUCUUAACAUAUCCCUCAAGGUAACCCUUUUCCUUGAAUCAACCUAAUAUUCCUCCUCUGGACACUUCACAAAAAGACAAAAGACAGUAUCUUUGCUUAGAUAAAGAGAUAAAAAAUAUAGACAGUAUUUCAAAUUAGGCCUAACUAAUGAUUUCUAUAAAGAAAUAAUUAUGUCUUUUGACUUGCAAUCAAUAUAUCUAUAAAUAAAUCCCAUAAUUCUAUAAAGUUAGCUUUACUAUGAUGACUUGAAUGACUUAUCAAAAUAUUUUUCUCCAGUCAUACUCUUGAGUGGGUUCACAAAUGUUAUCUUGUAUUUACAGUUAUUAAAGACCUCUUGUCAAACAUUCUUCCAUCUUACCAAUUGUAAUACCUCGUCAUCUUCAGUACAGCUAGAAAUACUCAAGAGUUUAAUCAUCAGCAAUGUUUACUAACUGGUGCCACAGCAAUGCUCUGACAGUACUACACUCCUGGUUCAGUGCUUCCUGAGAAGAUGCCCUGGAAAAUUAUGUACCAACAACAGCUGUUUUGUGUUAUAGACUAACACCAAAAGGUGCGUAAAAUAUCAGUGUGCUGGUUGAAUACAAGUUAAAAAUUCCAGAAUAAUUGAGUCAAAUGGAAUUGGCAGGAAUUGAAUAGUUUACUGGUGUUGAACCAAAGGAAAAUAUAUAACGUCUAUUAGAAGGGAGUGACUACUUUACAAACCCAGAAAUAUAUCGUUCUGUUAAAAGAAGAAAAAAACAAAAACGUGGACCGUUACACCAACGGAACAAGAAACCCUGGUGAUAGAGUACACUGUUAUCAAUGCAGUAGGAAAUGUCGUACUCUUUAUGCAAGAAAUACCAAGAAUAUUUCACCAGAGGUGGUCCAAUUGGUUGCAUUGGGUCAGCCAAUGGUUCAGUUUGGAUGAGAAAUGAUUUCUUAAUCUUUGAAAAACAGGUGUAGCCAUCUCUUGACCACAAAGACCUACUAUUUCUAGAUAACCAUGGUAUAAUUCUACUAAGUUUUCUGCCAGUAACAUCUCAUAAACUCCAAUUAUUAGACCAUAUAGUAUAUAGACCACUUAAGAAUUUCAAAACAGCUGCAGAUGCAUGAAUAAGGAAUAAUCCGUGUAGCAGAGUAACAAGAUAUGGCAUUCCUGCCAUCGCUACACGUGCUUUACCACAGGCUACUACACCAAAUAACAUUAUGACUGAGCUUAGGUGUAUCACCUUUUAACAGAGACAUAUUUGACUAAAGUGACUUGGGCGAUGUUUUGGAAUGUAUGAAGAAAUCCUAGAGGAUCAAAAUAUCCCCAUUUCUUUGAAGAAAAACAUCAUGGAUCAGUGUGUACUACCAACCUUUACAUAUGGCUGUCAAACAUGGGCUUUAACAAAAGAGAUAAGGAAAAAGAUAGAAACUACACAAAGAGCUAUGGAAAGAAAAACAUUUCAUAUAAAAUUACAAGAGAAAUGGCAGAAUAAGAAACACAACAAAUACAAUGGAUGCUGUAAGGUUCAUUCUAAGAAAUAAAUGCAAGUUAGGUAGACAGACUUUGCUUUGAAAAGUCUGAAGCCAGCAUAUAUACAGCAGAGUACUAUAAAUUCCGAUAAAAGUACCAUUCUGUAAAUCUCUCCAAAACCAAAUGAAGCUAACCACACACCUAAAUUACCAGUCUCGUUGAACCCUAUGCUAAAUGCAUCACCGUCUGGUUUGGUAAUUUCAACUUCUAGGCUGGAUUUAAUUCUGUCAUCACUACAUAAUGUUCAAAAACGUAUAUAUUCUUCUCAAGAGAUCCGCCUUUUACCACAAUAAUAUAUCAAACAUAACGGCCGUGCACGAAAGCUAAGAAAAAAAAAAAGCACCCCGGACUGACACCCCAGAAAAAAGGAUACGCUUGAGACUGAGGAAAUAAAAACGGACUGGUGGGGAGGGGGAUAGGCUUAGAGAAACCCUUCAAUUACAAUUUUCGAACAUAAUUUUUUUCGUCUAAAGAAUCAAGUGUCAGUAACUUUGUAAUUAAGCCUAUUUUUUUUAUAACUAUUACUAUGAACAAUUGCCUAAAUAUUUUAAGCUAAUAGGUGAGGUUGAUCGAUGAUUUAAUUAUAUUGUAGAUUCUGCAGACGUAAGUAAAUAUAUUAAAGUUUUUGUAUUGUAGUUGGGGUUAUAUUUUUCUCUUGUACUGUUAUCAUACUUUGAAAGUUAACUACACUGGCAUUACUGUUGUAGAAAAAACUCACAACAUAAUGUUUAAGAACUGUACCUCAUUUACCAGUUUUAUUUAGU